GCCAAUAUGUCAUGUGAAUUUUUCUACUGGUUUCAGAAAAUAUGGAUUGCAAGAAAAAGAGCAGAUACAUUUUCCCUCCAAACGGUAAACGAUGGAUUUGAAUAAGCUGUGUAGGCUCUAUCCAAAGAAGCACUUGAAAAUUUGAAUGCUCUUGGAAAGGAAAUACUGCUCCAACAGAAUUAGUAUGAAUUCAAAGACCACAGAUCAUCGAGACAACAGGCAAUCUUCAAAAUGAAACAAUCCAGAUACACUGCAAGAAAUGGAGGAGUUGAGUAUCAUACACUUCAUAGAGACUUGAAACAUUCCUGCAGAUUUCAACAUGAUGUAUAUUACCGGAGCUAAAAUGCCAUUCACUGAAAGCUGAGACACUUCUCAGAUUUUCCAACACCAAAUGGGAAUGUGGACUUCAGAAACAUAUUAUCGUAAAAGAAGGAUGAAGUCAAAAUAUCGUCUGUAUCCUCAUCUGGUGUAAUUUGGCAUGACUCCAUUGAUUUCUGAUCCCUUAUCUUUAAUGUCCUUCUCCUUUUUUAAUGAAAUACAAUUCUAAAUCAAGAAACUAACUGUCACGA